GUGAGGAAUAUUGCGCAAUGGGCGAAAGCCUGACGCAGCAACGCCGCGUGGAUGAUGAAGCUCUAAGGAGUGUAAAGUCCUGUUAGGAGGGAAGAAUAAUAGUUAUUCGAUAAGGAUAGCUGUUUGACGGUACCUCCAGAGAAAGCCCCGGCUAACUCCGUGCCAGCAGCCGCGGUAAUACGGGGGGGGCUAGCGUUGUCCGGAAUCAUUGGGCGUAAAGGGCGCGUAGGUGGAAUAAUAAGUCAGAGGUGAAAACCAUAGGCUUAACUUGUGGCCGGCCUUUGAAACUGUUAUUCUUGAGUGCGGUAGAGGGAAGCGGAAUUCCUGGUGUAGCGGUGAAAUGCGUAGAUAUCAGGAAGAACACCGGUAGCGAAGGCGGCUUCCUGGGCCGUAACUGACACUGAGGCGCGAAAGUGUGGGGAGCAAACAGGAUUAGAAACCCGAGUAGUCC
rnacentral:rRNA from 1 species